rnacentral:rRNA from 1 species
GAUGAACGCUGGCGGCGUGCCUAAUACAUGCAAGUCGAGCGAACAGACGAGGAGCUUGCUCCUCUGACGUUAGCGGCGGACGGGUGAGUAACACGUGGAUAACCUACCUAUAAGACUGGGAUAACUUCGGGAAACCGGAGCUAAUACCGGAUAAUAUAUUGAACCGCAUGGUUCAAUAGUGAAAGACGGUUUUGCUGUCACUUAUAGAUGGAUCCGCGCCGCAUUAGCUAGUUGGUAAGGUAACGGCUUACCAAGGCGACGAUGCGUAGCCGACCUGAGAGGGUGAUCGGCCACACUGGAACUGAGACACGGUCCAGACCCCUACGGGAGGCAGCAGUAGGGAAUCUUCCGCAAUGGGCGAAAGCCUGACGGAGCAACGCCGCGUGAGUGAUGAAGGUCUUCGGAUCGUAAAACUCUGUUAUUAGGGAAGAACAAAUGUGUAAGUAACUAUGCACGUCUUGACGGUACCUAAUCAGAAAGCCACGGCUAACUACGUG